GACGAACGCUGGCGGCGUGCUUAACACAUGCAAGUCGAACGGAAAGGCCCUGCUUUUGUGGGGUGCUCGAGUGGCGAACGGGUGAGUAACACGUGAGUAACCUGUCCUUGACUUUGGGAUAACUUCAGGAAACUGGGGCUAAUACCGGAUAGGAGCUCCUGCUGCAUGGUGGGGGUUGGAAAGUUUCGGCGGGUGGGGAUGGACUCGCGGCUUAUCAGCUUGUUGGUGGGGUAGUGGCUUACCAAGGCUUUGACGGGUAGCCGGCCUGAGAGGGUGACCGGCCACAUUGGGACUGAGAUACGGCCCAGACGCCUACGGGCGGCAGCAGUGGGGAAUAUUGCACAAUGGGCGGAAGCCUGAUGCAGCAACGCCGCGUGCGGGAUGACGGCCUUCGGGUUGUAAACCGCUUUCGCCUGUGACGAAGCGUGAGUGACGGUAAUGGGUAAAGAAGCACCGGCUAACUACGUG
rnacentral:rRNA from 1 species